rnacentral:rRNA from 1 species
GAUGAACGCUGGCGGCGUGCCUAAUACAUGCAAGUCGAGCGAACGGACGAGAAGCUUGCUUCUCUGAUGUUAGCGGCGGACGGGUGAGUAACACGUGGAUAACCUACCUAUAAGACUGGGAUAACUUCGGGAAACCGGAGCUAAUACCGGAUAAUAUUUUGAACCGCAUGGUUCAAAAGUGAAGGACGGUCUUGCUGUCACUUAUAGAUGGAUCCGCACUGCAUUAGCUAGUUGGUAAGGUAACGGCUUACCAAGGCAACGAUGCAUAGCCGACCUGAGAGGGUGAUCGGCCACACUGGAACUGAGACACGGUCCAGACUCCUACGGGAGGCAGCAGUAGGGAAUCUUCCGCAAUGGGCGAAAGCCUGACGGAGCAACGCCGCGUGAGUGAUGAAGGUCUUCGGAUCGUAAAACUCUGUUAUUAGGGAAGAACAUAUGUGUAAGUAACUGUGCACAUCUUGACGGUACCUAAUCAGAAAGCCACGGCUAACUACGGG